rnacentral:rRNA from 1 species
GGCUCAGGACGAACGCUGGCGGCGUGCUUAACACAUGCAAGUCGAACGAUGAAGACCGGUGCUUGCACUGGUUGGAUUAGUGGCGAACGGGUGAGUAAUACGUGAGUAACCUGCCUUUAACUCUGGGAUAAGCCUUGGAAACGAGGUCUAAUACCGGAUACGACCAGUUCCCGCAUGGGAUGCUGGUGGAAAGGGUUUGUACUGGUUUUAGAUGGGCUCACGGCCUAUCAGCUUGUUGGUGAGGUAACGGCUCACCAAGGCGACGACGGGUAGCCGGCCUGAGAGGGUGACCGGCCACACUGGGACUGAGACACGGCCCAGACUCCUACGGGAGGCAGCAGUGGGGAAUAUUGCACAAUGGGCGCAAGCCUGAUGCAGCGACGCCGCGUGAGGGAUGAAUGCCUUCGGGUUGUAAACCUCUUUCAGCAGGGAAGAAGCGAAAG